rnacentral:lncRNA from 1 species
AUAGUUCAUCUGCAUGCAUGAUGUUCUGCUAGUUCUAGUUUUCUACAAGUGUAUUGGCAGAGCUUUCAUUAUUCUAGGAGGUUGUUCUCGUCAAUGAAAGCUCUAACGUUUCAAAACUAGAACUGGUUUCAUUAUUCUAGGAUGAUGAUCCUCUAGUUCACAACAUUAUAUAGUUUUGCUCUAAACUAUAUUAUUAUAAAAUAUAUUUGUGGCAGAACUAGGUGAUUUUUCAUUAAGAUUAGAAGAGUGUCCGUGCUUUGCAAUGAUUUUCAUAUUUUGUGCUCGGUAACUACCUUGUUUAUCAUUGACCGAAUUAAAACAGGAUCUUGGAGACAGUGAAUAAGUUCACAGUGCUCAAAUACCCUAUAGUGACUAACCUUACACUACUAAUAUACUUGACUCAAUGACACGGCACUCCACCUCAUCCAAUACUUCCUCUCCAGCCCUCAGGUCUGGAAGCAUGUAUGCCACCACUCUCUCUUUCUCCAUCCCCGCUUCCCCCACUCUUCUGCACAUGGUCCUCAUUUCUCAAUAUGACCCUGCCAAUCAAUAUAGGAUGAAUGUAACACGAAAUUGUUACACAAGUGAUCAUAAAACCAAAAAGGAUCCUUAUCAUUGACGAGGCUAAGCCCAAAAACAGGAAUCAGAGGAUUUCU